rnacentral:rRNA from 1 species
GGGUUAAGUCCCGCAACGAGCGCAACCCUUAUCCUUUGUUGCCAGCGGUCCGGCCGGGAACUCAAAGGAGACUGCCAGUGAUAAACUGGAGGAAGGUGGGGAUGACGUCAAGUCAUCAUGGCCCUUACGACCAGGGCUACACACGUGCUACAAUGGCGCAUACAAAGAGAAGCNGACCUCGCGAGAGCAAGCGGACCUCAUAAAGUGCGUCGUAGUCCGGAUUGGAGUCUGCAACUCGACUCCAUGAAGUCGGAAUCGCUAGUAAUCGUGGAUCAGAAUGCCACGGUGAAUACGUUCCCGGGCCUUGUACACACCGCCCGUCACACCAUGGGAGUGGGUUGCAAAAGAAGUAGGUAGCUUAACCUUCGGGAGGGCGCUUACCACUUUGUGAUUCAUGACUGGGGUGAAGUCGUAACAAGGUAACCGUAGGGGAACCUGCGGUUGGAUCACCUCCUUACCUUAAAGAAGC